ACCUCCAUAUGCCAUGGGUGUGGCCCUAAAAAGACAAAAAAAAAAUUUGUUUGCCUUGAUUAUUUUUUCCUCAUAAUUGAAGGGUAUGACUCCUACUUGCAUAUCACUAAAAAAAGAGAGCAAGAAAAGUCAAAGUAAAUACAUAUAGUAAAUAUAUAUAUUUAUAUUUAUAGUACUUUUGGCUACUGUUGUUGAGAUUGUUCCAGCCAUGAAGCCUCCAUGAAAUCUUUGUAACAUAUUUGAGAAUAGCCAGGCUUCAGAGAAGGACAGAGGCAGAUUCAAAUAGAGAUUCUGCCCUCAGUAAACUUCUUCCACUAAGGAAAAUUACUCAAUCUCUUUAAGAUUCCUUUUCUUCAUUCAUAAGAUUGUUGGGAGAUACAAAAAGAUGUUGUAUCUGAAAUUUCUCUCACAGUCCUUGGCACAUAGUAGGUGCAUAACACAUAAAAACCACUCAUUUGAUAAAGAUUUAUUGCCUGUUCUACUCUAAUAUAUGCUGAACAAUGCACUGGGCACUGGGUCUAUCAGCAUGGCUACAACAUAGCCCUUGGCCCCCACGAGCUCUUAGUCUAGUGAGGGAAAGAGACACAUGAGUAAAUAAUUACAGUGUUAAGUGGGACAAAAGAGGUGCAGUUUUGGGAGAUCAGAUGAGGAAAUAAUUGCCUAGGGGAAUCCAGAAAGUCUUUGCAGAAGAGGAAAAAUUGAUUUCACAAGAUGGGAACAAGCUUGCUAAAAGAGUAAGGGAAACUGUAGACUGAUUUUUUCAGAUGUGUGGUGAUAUAGAUCCCUUUCCUAGCCAUCAGGGAUGAACAAUGAUUGGGUCAUUGUAUCAUGUCUUUUUAUGUGCCAAGGACUGUGAGAGAAAUUUCAGAUACAACAUCUUUUUGUAUACGACCCGUUCUGGCCAAUGGCACCUGAAUUGACAUUUUCUGGGGGCUUCUGGGUACGAUUUUCCUUUUGGUGGAAAGGCAAAUAUGCAUAAGGAGAAGUGUUUCUCUCUUCAUUCCAGCUUUGGACAUUAUCAUGUGCAUGUGAGAAUAUAACUCUGGGAACCACUGUAGCCAUCUUGAGAUCAUGAGGGAGGAGCCAAGACAAUUGCAGAGACCAACUCAACUAUUUCUGAAUAGUUGAGCUUCAGAAUCAACUUUGAACUUACCAUCUCUGGGUUGUGUGAUAUAUUAGAAAAAUAAGCCAUAAUUUUUGAGCCAGUUGUUGUCAGGUAUUCAGUUAAUCCCCAAACACCAAAGCACAAACAACUAACUACAUAUUCCCAUUUUAUAGGUUUGGUCACUGAGGUGUAGGAGGCCAAAUCAUUGAUUCAAGGUCUUACUGAUAUUGAGCAGGGAAGGAAAACCAGGUCUAUUGAAAAUCCCAAGCCCAGUCUCUGUGUCUUGUUAAAAAAAAAAAGUUAAAAAAUAUCUUUUCUCUUCCCCAGGUAUUGGACUCUGUUUCAUUCACCUCCCCUCCCGAACACCCCAGGAAGUUUUAGAAUCUGCCUCUGGUUAAGCACCAGGGUAAGGCAGCAGUUCAAAAACACAUGGAUGCUCCAUUAACCAACUUUACUAUAUAAUAGGCACUAAUAUACUGCCUCGCACCUUCUGCCUAAUCUCAAGCCUGGAGUCAACAGAGCCAAAGGGAAAUCUCCUUGGACAGGACUUUCCUGAUCCCCCCUCACCUUUAUUACACUAUAUGAUGUAAGGGGAGAUGGUACAGGUUUCAAGUAAGUGCUAAAGGUUGCCAUGUCCAGGAAAAGCAGAGGAAUACACCUCAAUAUAACUUGGAAACAGAAAUUCUGAAAUUGAAGGAAACCUACAUGGUAUCUGGAAGGAUCCCCAGAUCCUUUCUAAGAUGAAGGGCGGUGAAGUCCAUGCUCAUUCCAGACCCUGAGGGGUUUGAUAUGGGAGGAAAGGCAACUCUGACUGGAAUCAGUGAAUUGUCUACAUAAAACUUUUGGUUGUCUACAUAAAACUCUGAGUCACAAGAACCCCCAUUAAACUUCCUUGAAGUGAGGUGAACUGGACUGGUCUUUUAGUGCAGUUCCAGAUGCCGGCUGUGGGCAAACUGAUGAAACUGCCCCCUUACCAAGGAUGUGAUUGAACAAGACCUGGGACCUGAAAAAAAAUCUUGCAAUUACACUUUUCUACCACUAGAUGAUAUGCACGUAUAAGCAAGAUGAAAACCCUCCUGUGUUUUCUUGCUGCAUCAGUGGCCGCAGUGAUGAUAGGGGCCGUUGAACUACUACUGCCUAUGGGCCAAAUCUGGUUUUCUGCCUCUCUGUAUAAAUAAAGUUUUAUUGGAACACAGCCAUGCUCAUUUGUCUGGGACUGAUUUUGCUCUACAAUGACAGUGAUAAAGAAAGUGACUAAAGACACAUUGACUCCUGGCACACACAUGAAAUGACUGUAGCAGGCCUACACGAUGGAGAACAAUUUGGGUAAUUAAUUGCCUCAGAGUCAUACAUCACAUGGAGAAGAUGGGGAUAAUGAGGAACUGGGUGAGCCAACUUAAUCCUUUGUCCCACAUGAAGAGAUGGGGCCAGGUGGCCUAGGUGUUCCAGGUGUUUUCCACAUUUCCACACAGUCAUGCCCCAAGCUCCUCUUCUCUCCUUCUCUUGCUCCAGGAAAACCUCUCCUGUUUUCUUCCACAUUUUGAUGUCUUCUUUCCUUAGGGCACCUCCAUUAUCCCUACAGAAAAGGAAGCCCUGGUAGACUCCUCCACUUUUCCUUUCUUUGACCCUAAAUGGCCAGGUGCUAAUGUUUGGAGUCUCCUUGGGGCCAGGUGGGGGUGUGAGUGGUGGAGGAUCAGGGAAGGGGAAGCAGAAAGGAGAAACUCUGGGGCUUUGCAGAUGGAUUUGGGAAAGACUAAGGGCUUCUGUUUCUGGGAGCUACUGGUUUCUCAUGAAAUAAAUUAAACUUCCUAUAUUAAUAAUGAACUUUCUUUAAAGAUCAUCCUAUCUGGGUUACACGAGAAGUUUGUAUCCCUUCUAAAAAACAUGGCUUGGACAGCCUCCCCCUUUUUGUGAAAUAAUAAUCCCAGCCUCUUUACACCAAUGGAGCAUUUGCCCCAGGUUUCAUUAUAGAAUGAAUUUCCCAAGUCCUUUAAUUCCUUAAUAUACAGAUAUGUAUAUAGGUAUAUUCUUAUGUAUGUAUGUAUGUAUUUAGAGUUAAAUUAUGGUUGGAAUAGUGUAUGUGGGGUAGUGUCAAACUGAAAAUUGAUAAUCUGGGCUUUUGGAAUUUAGGAGAAGGGAAAGGCUGGGUGAUUUGACGUGGACUUGUGAAAGGUGAGUUACAGGUUCUGAGGAAAUUUGGACAUGCAAAGGAAGGGUCAUUUUAGACAAUGAGAUGGAGAGGCAGACGUUUGGGCUUGACCGUGGGCACUUGGCGAGAAGACAAUUUUGGUAAGGGCUGAAUGUGGGAAUUCGGGUCCACCAGGUUGAAGUUUGAACUGGAUCUCAUAGUCCUGGGAAAAUUCAGAAGACUUUGACUAGAGAAGUAUCGCUGGUUCUAAAUUUUCCAAGGGUGAAACCAUCAUGUUUACCUUUUCUUGUCUGUGUUUAGCUAAGUGACCACUGACAUGUGGUCAGGUUUCAACCAGCUUCGAGUGAAUAAAUGCACAGCAGUGAUAUUUUAGGAAAAGUAAUCUGGGGACUAGGAAUGGGAUGGCUUGGAGAGGGAAGACAGAAAAUAGAGAAAAACAGGGGUAAGUGCAAAGACAUAGACCUAUUCCUUUCCUUCACCAAACAGUCCAUGUAAAAUGAUCAAAUUUUAAAUCUCAUUGCCAGUACCACAAAUGUAGCUGGAAAUAGCUGGACAUGAAUCAAUCAUCUCAACAGUAAUUGUAACCAGAAAUGGGAAAUGUUUCAUAAAAAUCUAUUUGUUUCACGUUUGACUACGUGGCCAUGUCUUACUCUGCCCAGUUUAGGAUAUUUCACAAAUGCAUCAUGAUGAAAAAAAAAUUCAUCAGGAAAGUUGAUGUUCUGUCUGCCUCAGUGACAAUCCUUUUCUAAUUAGUAUGAGAAGUAGCUUAAUUUAAUAAAUAUGAUUUCUUUAUUCUUAUCAUUUUCAGAUCUAUACCCGAGAUUUAACUUUUUUUUAAUUUACUUUUUUAUUAAAUGAAACCCAGCAAAGAAAAAAGGGUUAAGUUUGAGUUGUCAAAAUAGGUUUUCUUCAAUGCUUAAUUCCUUAUUCUACCCCCAGUAUUAGGUUUAUGUGUUUAACUAGAGGGACUCACUUUCAAAAUCUCUGUGUUAUUGGGUGGAGAAAAGAGGGCUGAAGUCCAUUGCUGGUUACGUCAAGUGGUGUCAGAUUUGGCUUGCUCUUCUCACUUCCUGUUGACUCCAAGAAAAAAGGCUGCAGUUGGCGCCUGACAGUGAAAAACAUGAAGCUCUGAGACCCGUCUGAAUUACUAAUCACUACAUGUCCUGUUCAGUCUGACCACUUUCCAAGCAAUGAAGCGAACUGGCCAGGGACUGAAGGUGAACUGGAAGAAUAUAUCCAAGACCACAAGCCCAGUUCUCUGAAGGAUGGCUCUCUGGAAAGAACGUGUGAGCCUGUGCACACGUGGGCAACAGUAAUAGGAAUGGAGAAGUGACAGGCACUCAGUCAUCAUCUCCAGAAAUCCUGUGUCCUGAAGUUGUUAAGAAAGGAUGCUGUGGAUAUUUUACAGAAUGAGUAAAAAUAAUCCUAAAAUUCACCUGUAACUAUGAAAGACCCCAAACUGCCAGAGUAAUUUUUAGCAAGAAGAACAAAGCUGGAGACACCACACUUCCUGACUUCAAGCUAUAUUACAAAACUAUAGUAAUCAAAAUAGUAUGGUACUGCAAUAAAAAUGGACACACAGACCAAUGGAACAGAAUAGAGAGUCCAGAAAUAAAACUAUGCAUAUACUGUCAACUAAUCUUUAACAAAGCUAUACAAGAAUACACAAUAAGAAAAGAACAGUAUCUUUAAUAAAUGAUGUUGAAAAAACUGGAUAUCCCUAUGCAACAGAAUGAAAUUGGAUACUUAAACCUUGGACAAAAAUCAACUCAAAGUGGAUUAGAGACUUGAACUUAAGACAUGAAACUGUAAAACUUUUGGAAAAAGCUGCUUGGCAUUGGCCCUGGUAAUAUUUUUUUUCAGAUAUGACACCAAAAGCACAGUCAUCAAAAGCAAAAAUAAUCAAAUAGGAUUACAUUAAACUAAAAUGUAUUUUCCUUUGUUUGUCCAACAAAGGAAACAAUAAAAUGAAAAGGCAACCUAUGGAAUGGAAAAAAUGUUUAUAAACCAUACAAGGGGUUAAUGUCUAAAAUAUAUAAGACAUACAACUCAAUAGCAAAACCCAAUAAACCUGAUUAAAAUGCAAGUGAAAGACCUGAAUAAACAUUUCUCCAAAGAGGUCAUACAAAUGUAUGAAAAGGUGCUCAACAAUACUAAUAAUCAGGAAAAUUAAAAUCAAGACCACAAUGAGCUAUCACCACAUACCUGUUAGGAUGGCUGUUGUUUAAAAAAAAUGAUAACAAGCAUUGACAAGGGUAUGGAGGAGAGGGAACAUUUGUGCACUACUGGUGGGAAUGUAGAUUGGUAUAGCUGUUAUGGGAAGUGGUAUGGAGGAUAUUCAAAAAAUUAAAAAAUGACGUAUCACAUGAUCCAGUAAUCCUACUUCUGAACAUGUAUCCAAAGGAACUGAAAUCAGUAUCUCAAAGAGAUAACUACACCCCUGUGUUCAUUGCAGCGUUGUUCACAAUAGCCAAGAUAUGGAAACAACCUAAAUGUCCACUGCCAGAUGAACAGAUAAAGAAAAUGUGGUAUAUACUUGCAAUGCAAUAUUGUCCAGCUUUUGAAGAAAGGAAAUCUUGCCAUUUGUGAUAAUAAAUUUGUGGACCUGAGUAGCAUUGCUAUGUGAAGUAAACCAGAGACAGAAAAACAUACUGUAGGAUCUCACUUAUUUGCAGAGUCUAAAACAGUAAAACUCAUAAAAAUGGUUGCCAGGGUCUAGAGGGAGGGGGAAAAGGGACGUGGUGGUUAAAGGAUAUAGUUUCGGUUCUGUAAGAGGAAGAAGUUCUGAAACUUCUAAUAUAUAGCAUGAGCCUAUAGUAAACAAUACUAUAUUGUAUACUUAAAAUUUGUUAAGAGAGAAGGCCUUAUGCUGUGUUCUUACCACAGAGAGGAGGAGGUAGCAGGAAGGAGCUUUGGGUGGUGAUGCAUGUGUUUAUAACCUUGUUGAUGGUGAUGGUUUCAUGGGUAUACACUGAUUCCCCAAACUCAUCGAGUUGUAUACAUUAAAUUCAUACAGCUUUUUAUAUGUCAAUCAUAACUAAAUAGUUUAUGCCAUGUAAACCUUGUUAUGUCAUGUGUCCUGAUAUUUCUGAGUCUAUAUAAAUUAUUAUAGUCUGUAUUUCCUCGAGUAGAGCCUGUUCUUAUGGCUUCCUGCCUUUGGAACCAGUUCACACAAUGAACUGGCUCAGGGUUAGAUCAUCUCAAGCAUCCUUGUGGAGAUGAAAGAAAUGUGGCAAGAAGAAAGCUGGGUGGUUAGUUUGGCUACUAGGAAACCAGGCCCAUUUCAGAGAAGAUAGAGAUGACUUUGGAUCAGGGAAGAACUGUAAAAAGUUUGAGCUUUACAGGGCACCUGGGCACAAAGGUCAAAGAUUGAGGGUUUGCUUUGCAGGCCCCCUUGGUCCUGUGUGAAUGCCAGAGAGGAGGCACCUGUUAAUCCAUUAAGAGUCUAGGCAUGGGAUGAGAGGCAGAUUUCUAGUGUCUAAAGGGAAUGAAAUGUUCAAGCCCAUCUGCUCAGACUUACCUGCCGGUGCAGUCUUUUCAGGUUAAAUAAAUUUAUACCUUCCCUAGACUAUUAGUUUAAUGCAAUUUAAAAAUAAUCCUGAUUUUUGAUGGAAUUAAAAAAAUGUCUCAGAAAGUAUCUGGAACAAUAAACAGGUAAGAAUACUAAGGCAAUUUUGAAAAAUGAGAGUAAUGAUUGGUAGUUAUUUUGAAAAUUAACAAAACAUGUUAUAAAACUAUAAUAAGUAAAGCAAUAUGGUAAUUGGACAGGUAGACAGAAAAAAGAUAAGGGAAUGUUCAAACUCAAAUUAUAGAAUAAUUGAAAACUUAAUAUUUGGUAAAACAGAUAACCCUAAUUAUAGGAAAGGGAAUUCUUUAAUUAACAUAACAUUGGAGGGGAAUUGCUUAGUCAUGUAGAAAAAAAAGUUGAUUGAGAUUCUCAGCCCUAAUAUGUAGCAAAGUUCCCUGAAAGAAUAUGAGUCUGUGUAUAGAUAUAUGUUAUGGAUUGACUUGUGUCCUCCCAAGAGACAUAGCUUUGUUUCAGCAGCAUUAGGAAACUAACACUAUAUAUUUAAAUAUAUGUAUGUAUAUAAUUACAAUAUUUUUAAUGGUUGAUUUGCACAUUGAAGUGCUAAAACUGCUAGUAUAAUUUGAUGAAGAAACUUGAGUGGUAUCUUGCCUUAACAGGUUUUAAAACAAUUUCUAAGGCAGUAAUGAUGAAAGCAAAAAGACUAAUAGAUCAUUAGAAUAGAAUGGGAAUUCAAUGUAUAAAAAACAUGAGAAGAGAGUAAGGAUGCGGGCAAGCAAUUUGGUUCUUUCCAUGUGAACCUGUUCAGGUUUCUUCUAUUGCUGUCUGGGGGCAAAAUUCUGGACAUUGGCAACAAAUUUUUUUUUUUUUUUUAUCUUUUGUCUUUUUCAG